GAACGCUGGCGGCAUGCCUUACACAUGCAAGUCGAACGGCAGCACGGGAGCAAUCCUGGUGGCGAGUGGCGAACGGGUGAGUAAUAUAUCGGAACGUGCCCAGUCGUGGGGAUAACGUAGCGAAAGUUACGCUAAUACCGCAUACGAUCUAAGGAUGAAAGCGGGGGAUCGCAAGACCUCGCGCGAUUGGAGCGGCCGAUAUCAGAUUAGGUAGUUGGUGAGGUAAAGGCUCACCAAGCCAACGAUCUGUAGCUGGUCUGAGAGGACGACCAGCCACACUGGAACUGAGACACGGUCCAGACUCCUACGGGAGGCAGCAGUGGGGAAUUUUGGACAAUGGACGCAAGUCUGAUCCAGCCAUUCCGCGUGCAGGAUGAAGGCCCUCGGGUUGUAAACUGCUUUGUACGGAACGAAAAGGUUUCUAUUAAUACUAGGAGCUCAUGACGGUACCGUAAGAAUAAGCACCGGCUAACUACGUG
rnacentral:rRNA from 1 species